rnacentral:lncRNA from 1 species
GCACACGACCAUGUAGCGUUGAUAGGCCCCAAUUUUGGCUUUCACCGAACGCCGUUUUUCGAGUUCCUUACUACAUACCUUGAGCAAAAAUUUGAUGCAUGCUAGAAAAUUAAUAUUCCCAUACCUAAAUUGACGAAUAAUACAAAUUAACAAUCGAAAAUUUUACUAAUCUAAACAAUUGAUAUAACAAAUCCCACACAACGAACCCAACAAUUGAACGAACAAUCCCAUAAAACAACAACACACUCACCUUCAAAUGAACAGCAGCUUGAAACAACCUCAUUUGUUGGAGCCCUCACCAACUCACGAACUUCACCUAUACGAAACACCCAUAAAAUUUAAUUUCACUUAUCUCUCCACAACAACCCAAAACGAGAAGGAAAAAUCCCAAAGCUUAACCAAUAAAAGAAAUAAAUUAAUUAAAACCUUACUCAAUACCACGAACAGCCCAAUAGUGUAACAGUAGAAGAAACAAAAAUAAAGAAUAAAAGGGUAGUAGAUUCGGCUUGGCCAAAGGAUCAAGGAGUAGUCAAAAUUGAAAAAAGAAAAGAAAAAACAAAGAAUUGGAUGCACAGAGUUAACAAACGUGAAAAUAGAAAAACAAGGGAUAAUUAGAGAUUUUCUAGGAAUUUAAAUUUAAAAAAAUAACCAAUUUUAAAUGCCUCAAUUACAAUCAAAGUAGAAUUCCCCCACCUCCCACGACAUGAGAAAUAAAAAAAUAAAAUAGGGAAAAAAAACACCUCAAAUGCACUAGUGGGGAUUCGAACACUGGACCCUAACACCCACCCAUCCAAGCACUAACCGUUGAAAUAAGCAUUUAAUUAUGACAAGAUUUAAUGAAUCAAAGAUUAAGAGUUUUGAG